GUAAGCACUGGCCAUCCUUUCUCUGAAUAGCACCCUGACAACCACCCUGAAUGGGUCUUUUCCAAAACUUAAGGAAGUAGAAAAUCCAGGAGUAGUUAGCCCUGGCUAGCUUCUUUCUGCUCCAUGUUUCUACACAUUUGACUUGUCCGGAUACCUCAUGUGGAGUGUCAGGUGGCAGAAACGGUGUCUAUACUAUUUCUCUGCAUAUUAGCAC